rnacentral:tRNA from 1 species
GGGCCUGUAGUCUAGCCUGGAUAGGACGGUGGGCUUCGGACCCGCAAACCCCGGUUCGAAUCCGGGCGGGCUCG